rnacentral:rRNA from 1 species
UUAAGCGACUAAGCGUACACGGUGGAUGCCUAGGCAAUCAGAGGCGAUGAAGGACGUGCUAAUCUGCGAAAAGCGUCGGUAAGGUGAUAUGAACCGUUAUAACCGACGAUGUCCGAAUGGGGAAACCCAGUGCAAUUCGUUGCACUAUCGUUUGAUGAAUCCAUAGUCAAACGAGGCGAACCGGGGGAACUGAAACAUCUCAGUACCCCGAGGAAAAGAAAUCAACCGAGAUUCCCCUAGUAGCGGCGAGCGAACGGGGAGCAGCCCAGAGUCUUAAUCAGCAUCAGCAUCAGGAGAACGGUCUGGAAAGGCCGGCAAUAAAGGGUGAUAGCCCCGUAUCCGAAGGUGUUGGUGUUGUGAACUCGACGAGUAGGGCGGGACACGUGUUAUCCUGUCUGAAUAUGGGGGGACCAUCCUCCAAGGCUAAAUACUCCUGAUUGACCGAUAGUGAACCAGUACCGUGAGGGAAAGGCGAAAAGAACCCCGGCGAGGGGAGUGAAAUAGAACCUGAAACCGUGUACGUACAAGCAGUGGGAGCCUUGAUUUAUCAGGGUGACUGCGUACCUUUUGUAUAAUGGGUCAGCGACUUAUAUUCUGUAGCAAGGUUAACCGAAUAGGGGAGCCGUAGGGAAACCGAGUCUUAACUGGGCGAAUGAGUUGCAGGGUAUAGACCCGAAACCCGGUGAUCUAGCCAUGGGCAGGUUGAAGGUUGGGUAACACUAACUGGAGGACCGAACCGACUAAUGUUGAAAAAUUAGCGGAUGACUUGUGGCUGGGGGUGAAAGGCCAAUCAAACCGGGAGAUAGCUGGUUCUCCCCGAAAGCUAUUUAGGUAGCGCCUCGUGAACUCAUCUUCGGGGGUAGAGCACUGUUUCGGCUAGGGGGUCAUCCCGACUUACCAACCCGAUGCAAACUACGAAUACCGAAGAAUGUUAUCACGGGAGACACACGGCGGGUGCUAACGUUCGUCGUGAAGAGGGAAACAACCCAGACCGCCAGCUAAGGUCCCAAAGUCAUGGUUAAGUGGGAAACGAAGUGGGAAGGCUCAGACAGCCAGGAUGUUGGCUUAGAAGCAGCCAUCAUUUAAAGAAAGCGUAAUAGCUCACUGGUCGAGUCGGCCUGCGCGGAAGAUGUAACGGGGCUAAACCAUGCACCGAAGCUGCGGCAGCGACAUGUAAAUGUUGUUGGGUAGGGGAGCGUUCUGUAAGCCUGUGAAGGUGUGCUGCGAGGCAUGCUGGAGGUAUCAGAAGUGCGAAUGCUGACAUAAGUAACGAUAAUGCGGGUGAAAAACCCGCACGCCGGAAGACCAAGGGUUCCUGUCCAACGUUAAUCGGGGCAGGGUGAGUCGACCCCUAAGGCGAGGCAGAAAUGCGUAGUCGAUGGGAAACAGGUUAAUAUUCCUGUACUGGUGAUAAUUGCGAUGGGGGGACGGAGAAGGCUAGGCUGGCCGGGCGACGGUUGUCCCGGUUUAAGGAUGUAGGUGGGUGAAUUAGGCAAAUCCGGUUCGCUAUACACUGAGGUCUGAUGACGAGUCACUACGGUGGCGAAGUAGCUCAUGCCCCGCUUCCAGGAAAAGCCUCUAAGCUCUAGAUUAUCAUUAAUCGUACCCCAAACCGACACAGGUGGUCAGGUAGAGAAUACUCAGGCGCUUGAGAGAACUCGGGUGAAGGAACUAGGCAAAAUGGUGCCGUAACUUCGGGAGAAGGCACGCUGGCAUUAGGUGAAGUGGUUUACCCAUGGAGCUGAAGCCAGUCGCAGAUACCAGCUGGCUGCAACUGUUUAUUAAAAACACAGCACUGUGCAAACACGAAAGUGGACGUAUACGGUGUGACGCCUGCCCGGUGCUGGAAGGUUAAUUGAUGGGGUUAUCCGUAAGGAGAAGCUCUUGAUCGAAGCCCCAGUAAACGGCGGCCGUAACUAUAACGGUCCUAAGGUAGCGAAAUUCCUUGUCGGGUAAGUUCCGACCUGCACGAAUGGCGUAAUGAUGGCCAGGCUGUCUCCACCCGAGACUCAGUGAAAUUGAACUCGCUGUGAAGAUGCAGUGUACCCGCGGCAAGACGGAAAGACCCCGUGAACCUUUACUAUAGCUUGACACUGAACAUUGAGCCUUGAUGUGUAGGAUAGGUGGGAGGCUUUGAAGUGUGGACGCCAGUCUGCAUGGAGCCAACCUUGAAAUACCACCCUUUAAUGUUUGAUGUUCUAACGUUGCCCCAUAAUCUGGGGUGCGGACAGUGUCUGGUGGGUAGUUUGACUGGGGCGGUCUCCUCCCAAAGCGUAACGGAGGAGCACGAAGGUUGGCUAAGCAUGGUCGGACAUCAUGCGGUUAGUGCAAAGGCAUAAGCCAGCUUGACUGCGAGAGUGACGGCUCGAGCAGGUACGAAAGUAGGUCUUAGUGAUCCGGUGGUUCUGAAUGGAAGGGCCAUCGCUCAACGGAUAAAAGGUACUCCGGGGAUAACAGGCUGAUACCGCCCAAGAGUUCAUAUCGACGGCGGUGUUUGGCACCUCGAUGUCGGCUCAUCACAUCCUGGGGCUGAAGUAGGUCCCAAGGGUAUGGCUGUUCGCCAUUUAAAGUGGUACGCGAGCUGGGUUUAGAACGUCGUGAGACAGUUCGGUCCCUAUCUGCCGUGGGCGUUGGAAGAUUGAAAGGGGCUGCUCCUAGUACGAGAGGACCGGAGUGGACGCACCGCUGGUGUUCGGGUUGUCAUGCCAAUGGCACUGCCCGGUAGCUAAGUGCGGAAGAGAUAACCGCUGAAAGCAUCUAAGCGGGAAACUUGCCUUGAGAUGAGUCUUCCCUGACUCUUUAAGGGUCCUAAAGGAACGUUUAAGACGAAGACGUUGAUAGGCUGGGUGUGUAAGCGUAGCGAUACGUUGAGCUAACCAGUACUAAUGAACCGUGAGGCUUAACCUG